CUCCCAAGCCUUGGCAAGGCGCGCGCGCGCACGGGGUCGGGCGCUCCCGGGCCGCGGUGGCACCACGUAGCCGCCUCCUUCCACCGCUCGCUUUAUCCCCGCCCCUUCUCGGGCCAACCCCGAGCGCAGCCGACCCCGAGCGCCGCCGCGGGGUAGGUAGGGAGUGGGAGAGUGGAGGACCGCAGGCGAGAGGGAGAAGGAAGAGCGCCCGAGGAGCAGCCUGGCAGAGUGAUCCGGAUUGAUGAGCGGCGGCUGCUCUGGAGGGACGCAGUCGAGAGGGCUGGGUGAGUGAGGACCUGCGAGCCAACCCCAACACCCCCUCUGGGGUAGCCGCACUCGCGCCCCCUCCUCCACAACUGGCUUCUGUGGCUAGAGUAGAUGCGGUGCCACUGGACAGGGGAGGAAAGUGGUCGUGGACUUCGCCGAAUGGAAAAGAGUGUAGUUGGGGAAGAGGGAGAAGAGCCACAGAAAAUGGGAGGAAUGGAUGAAGGGAUGGGACGAUGCAAAGGAAAGCUUCCUGCCUGAAUCCCCGUGUGACUCUAACCCAAUCUCCCCACCUGCCGGAGAAAUGAGUUUCAUCCUAGAAAUGGGAACGAGGAAAAAGAGACGGCCCAAAGGAGUCCUGGCCCGGGAUACGAUCCUCGCCCGAGGGUCUGUGGCAACCACACAAACCCAGACAGCGCACGCUCCACCCUCCCCCGCAGAAUAGUGCCUAAGAAACCUGCCUGCCUCCUAACUCUAGGAAGGAACCCAGAACGGAUUCCAGGGAGGUCUUCUGGGGAAUCGGAUUUGGGUUUUUGGAUCACGAACCAUUAUGCUUUUGAACUCUGGGGAAGAAUAGAAAGCAAGGCUGGAUGUUGCUUUAGAACCCUACUUGAGCAGGUGUUGCUUACCCGCCCUUCUCCUGGAGCACUUUCAUAGGUGCUGGCAAAGCGGGUACCAGUAUUUCAUGGAAAGAGAAGGAAGAACCGCCCAGGACUGUGCUUAAAUGUCUAUGGAAAUAUUUUUAGGGAUUUCAAAUGCUAGAAGGAGGUGAGAUCAAAAAACUUUUCCAGCACCACCCUGUGCAACCCGGUCCUGGACACAGAAAUCUGAAAAGCUCCCCAGAUGAUACUUGAAUACUUGAGUUUGAGAGCCUGUAGUUAUAGGGUUUCCCCAGGUAACAACCUCUCACUUGUCUCAAAAACUGGCUACCUAGUUGACAACCGGCAGUCAAGUUUUGGCUAGGCAAGAAGCUACUUUUUCAUGCAAUAAACCACACUUUGAAAUAGUCCUGUGCUUCAGCAGCAUGAGGCUAUAUUGAGAUCUACACCUAUAUUGAGGUAUGAACCAGGUACCCACAGAGAUGGGAGGGCCAGGAGAUCCUACCCAUUCAGUACCUCAGAAGCUAUGACACGAGGUAACAGUGGCUUCAGCCCUUUGAAUGAAAUAAUCCUCUCUUCCUCAAAAGCGCUCUCCACCCACUCAAAACACAGGCCAUACUACCACCAAUCUGGUAGACUUCUAAAGUAAGAUCUUUCAGCAGCAGAUUUCCUUGUUAACAGGAAGGCACUGACAAGCUUUACCUAAGCCUAUUGGAGUUAUGUUGUAAUUCUAUAUAUAAAUAGAAGUCGCUGCAGGAAUACUGGAUAAAUCAGAAGAAAGGUCUGUCUUAAGCUGAUGUGACACAUUUCAAAAAGGACCAGAAAUUAGAUGCAACUGAUGACUGAGUUGAUCUCUAAGUGGAUUUAUCUUUGAAAUAAAAAGUCAUUGGAGAUAUCCCAUAUACCCAACAUAUGCGUAGCCUCCCCCAUUAUCAACCUCCUCAACCAGAAUAGCACUUUUGCUACAAAUAGUGAACCUACAUUGACAUAUUAUCACCAAAGUCCAUGGUUUACAUUAGGGUUCACUCUUGGGGUUGUAUAUUCUAUACAGUUGGACAAAUAUAGAAUAACAUAUAUCUACCCUUAUAGUAUCAUACAGAGUAUUUUCACUGACCUAAAAGUCCUCUCUACACCACCUAUUCAAUCCCUUCCUCCCCCCAGUCCCUGGCAACCACUGAUGUUUUACUGUCUCCCUCUCUCCAUAGUUUUGCCUUUUCCAGAAUGCCAUAUAUAAGGAACCAUACAGUAAGCAGUCUUUCUUUCCAUUUUGCUAUGAAACCAGAACUGCUAAGAAAAUAAAGUCUUAAAAAGAAAAAUCAAUGGAGAAGGGAAAGGUAAGAUAACUAAUUGGUAAUUUGGAGGGAGGGGGAACUAACUGAAUCCUCAUCUCAUUUCAUAUAUCCAAAAUAAGCUCUAGGAGGAUUAAAGAGUUAAAUACAUUUGAAAGCAGAGCAGAAGAAAAAAUAUUUGUCAAAGCUCUGAAUAGAAGUAUUUCUCAACUUAGAGGCCAUAGAAGGAAAUAAUCAAUAGAUACGAUUGGGUAAUAUCUUAAACACUUACACAUGUCGGGUUUUUUUAGUGUAAGCUAGACCAGAAAAAAAAUUGGCAGCAAGCAUGAAAAAUAAAAAUCUGAAUAUCUGUAUUAUAAGUAAGGCUCAUAGAGCUAAAGUAAAAUGUAGAAUCGAAGUGAUGGAGUACAAACAGAAAACAAAUCAUAGAAGAAAUCAAAAUAAUAUGGGGGAAAUUAAUAUUCUAGUAAUCAAAGAAGUAUACAUUAAAUCUAAUAAAGAUACAAAAACAAUGAGCACUGGUUGGCACAUAGUUGUUGCUGUCCUUAUGAAACAACAUGUCCAUCUGGAAAGCAUUUUGGCUGUACGUAGCAGGUCAGAGUGCUCCUACGUUUUGACUCAGCCAUCCAUCUUCUGGGAAUCUACCCAAAGAAAUACCCUAGCAGAUGGAAAAAGUUAUAUACUGCAAGAUGUUUAUCAUAGCAUUAUUUAUAUUGAAGACUUUCCCAGAAAUUAAAGAUCAAAGAGUAGGGGUGAUAUCCAAUUCCUUGUAGUUACUUGGACCACAAUGUCCCUUCACAUUCUGUGCCUCUGCACAUGUCAUUGUGAGUUUCUACCUGGGGUAUUGUCCCUUGUCUGUGAGCUGAUUCCUCUUAUUCUUCACUACUUUUGUUCAAUGUCUCGGAGGCUCCUCCUUUGUUCCCUCAACACCCCGUGUUUUUCCAUCCUGGCACUUACAGGCUGCCUGUAAGAACUUGUUUACCUACCUGUCUCCCAAUCUGCUGUGACUCCUUCUAGGGUGUGGCCUAAUUCUCAGUAAUCUUAGAAUCACCAGAACUCUGCAGAUAUUGCAGGUGCUUGACAGGUAUUUUUUAAAGGAAUGAAUGAGUCAUUUGCUCAAACUUUUUACAGCUCUUGAAGAUACUACUUAUAGAGUACAUGGCAAUGUGUGAAUACAUUGUAAUGUUAAAUUUUAUAGGCACUAUAUGUAGAAUUAUUUCCAAGUAAUAUUGUUAAAUUUUAAAAGCAAGAGACAAAAACAGUGUACACAGUAGGCUGUCAUUUUGUAAAAAGAUAGUGUGUUGGCAAAAGAAGAUACAUACACAUAUUUCCUUGCUAAUAGGUAGGCUAUCUAUGAAAGAAAACAAAAUAAACUGAUAACAGCAGAUUAAAGUGGAAUGGGGGUGCAAACUGGGGGACUAAAGAUAUUGAUGGGAAGGAGACCUGCUUUAUUUUUAAAUAACUCCUUUAGUUUGUUUUUGAAAUCUGUACCAUGUAUAUGACAUACCUGUUUUGAAAAAUAAAGCAAACUACAAAAUGGUAUGCAAUUUUAUGAAAAAGAUUAAGAGUUAAUAUUUACCAAAUAAUAACAGUUAUGAGAUUGUGGGUGAUUUUGUGUUCUUGUUUCUGGUUUGCAAUUUUUAAGUAUGGUUAUAUUGCUUUUACAAUUAAGAAGAUAAAAUUAUAAAUAAAGAUGUAAGAAAGCAACUAAGUAAUCAUAUUUAUUUCACACGACUCCUUCACAACUCAAUAAAUGCUGAUCUAUUUUAAGGAGAAAAGGAGAGGAAUUUUCUGUCGGAAUACUACUAAGGCCACCUCCCUUAAAACUCUGAAGUUGAAAAAUGGCUAAUAAGCUUAACUAUGGAAAAGUUAAUCAGCCCUUCAAGUGGCAGUGAAAACGGGUAAAGCAUGUUCUUCUAAUAGUUGCCUGGCUGAAGAGCAAGAUAUGACAGCAGUGUUUUAAGCUAAGACACUAAACGAGCUUGUCUGUCUCCACCUGAACUUAACUGUUCGCGCCCACCUUCCUGCCUCCCUCCUCUCGGCUCUGUCAUUGCCUGCCUUUCUGCUCUAAUACUGUUUUUCUUCUCUGUUGCUGACCUGCCGGUUGCCUCCCCACCCCUCCUGCCACCUUCCUCUCAGAACCCCAGCUGUGUUCAGUGUCCCCCUGUUAAAGUAGCCACAUGCUCUGGGAAGACCGGCCCUCUGCAUCACACCUGGCAGUCCCAUUCCUCUCGCUCAGGCGCGGCUCAGGAAUAAGCAGGUGACCCAAUUCUGGUGAACGAGCCAUGAGAAGAAUCUGCUAGAGGUUUCCUUGCAUCUAAGAGAUGCUCCCUUUCACUCUUGGCCUUGGGUUUGGAUGUGAUGCUUGGAUCCUCUGCAGCCUGAUGACAAAGACCACACCAAGGAUGGCAGAGUAGAAGGAAGAAAAGAAGCGGAGCCUUCCAGCCUUUGUUGUAUGGCUGACUUAGCCAGCCUUGAAGGUCGCUUUACCUCACAACUUCCUAUUGGUUGAGACAAAUUUCUUGGCUAAGACACUUUGACAGAGGUUUCCCGUUUCAAACAGCAGAAAGUAUCCUGACUUAAACACCUUUUGAGGCUCUCCCUCAAGCCUUUAUUGAUUUUCUCUUCUUGAAUCACCACCACCGUUUCUGCAUUUCUCUCAGUGUCACGUUUUUUUCUAUUCCCCACACCACCCCCACCCCCACCCCUCUUCCCCAGCUGUUUCUGUCUCAAACAAUACAGGGAAAACUUUUAGGGUGUCUGACAGAUCAUACCCACCCCUUUCUCUCAGACCUUCUCAACCACAAGGUGCUCCCCACCUCCAGCCACGUUUGUACUUCACAGUUGAUGGGGUCCCGGCAGAUUUAGGCUGAGCCAACUUGAGAGUCUGACUCUCUCAGUAACAAAAGGAACCCUGUACCUGGCUGAAAUGCAGGCAAUAUUUACCCGAGAGCUGGGGUGGGCCUGCAUUUCCCGGAGGAAGCCAAGACUCUCCCUCACCCUCUGCAGAAAGAGGAAGGAAGCCUAAACAGAGAAAAACCAUGGCAGUCUCUGACAGCCUGGGCGCUGUGAAUGGUUGUACAUUUUGUGCUCUGAAAGGCCCCCAUCCCUGCUAAAGGCAUGCUUCUAGAUUUUAAGAGUACUCUGUCUUUGAGGUCUAUGAGAUUUUUAAAUAGAAUCAUUCAUCACAUCCCAUGUGGGCUUUAGCUACUUUGAAGUGAGUAUCUCAAAUUGGCAAAUCAAAGAACCUUGAUUAAAACAAAAGGUCACCUCACCUCAAAUCCUUUAUGAAAUGAGGUCAACUUAAAAUACCUUUUAGUUAGCUAUUAUAUAAAAUUAAACUAUAUUUUUGUUAUAGUUAAUGAAUUAAAUAUUUUACCUUCUGUUCUUUAGUUGAAAAGUGAGCAAUUAAAUGGUCUAUUUCUCUAACGAAACAAUUAACUGAUUCCUCGGGAUUUACCACCCACUGUGGCCCUCUUGCCUGCGCCCACACAUACCUACUAAAGAAGACCAGUUUUCAGAUCCCCAGAAGAACAUAAAAGAGGGCAUAUCUGUCUUAUAAUUAUGAUUGAACAAGCAUAUGCAGAGCAGUUGUUUCACUUUUAGAAAUUAAAAUUGUUUGUACAAUAAAAUGAAUUCUGUCUUUCACACAAUAUGACAGAGCAGUAAUUGAUUUUUUUUAACUCUGCCAUUCCACCUUCUUCUGGUAAUAGCACAAACUUCCACCUGCUUUGGACAUAGCUAUGCCUGUGUGGAUCAAGGCACUAGGCCCUGAUGUUACCUUGCCAGGGGCCAGGCACAUAACACAAGUUCAGCCAAUUAGAAGCUUACUUCCUGAUACUGAGCGGAACAGAGAAAGAGACUAAAAGCCACCUGAAAUUUGUUUCUUGCAGCCCCUGGACAAGCCUGAAGCUUCCCUUGAGACCUCUGUGAGCCUCCUGAUUUUUCUGCCCUUCCUCUGGUUCCACAAGCGAGAUGUCAGGUUCUAACUGAAGUCUAAGGGGAAUCAGCUGGCGAGUGGUGGGUAGCUGGAAAAACACUCAAGGAAUCAUCGACAGUUUCAACAUGGCUUUGUUUUCUCUUUGGGCAUGAGUGAGCCAUAUGUACAGCAUCAGCAGGGUAAUUAUAUAUUUUGCAGAUAGCAGUGGCUCCGAGCCCAGCAGGAGCUCACAUGGGUGAUCGCCUAAUGUGCCUCAUGUGGUGUGGUUACAGAAUACGUGGAGUUGUGCACCUGCACUCCAAACCUGCUGAAUCAUGCUGCACUGGAAGGCUGCCUAAGCCUACUCCUGACUAAAGCACAGCCAUUUCCCUUACACUCCACCCCCCAGGCCUAGGGCAUCCUCCAGCAGGGACAUGUGUCCAUAGGGAAGAUCCCUGAAUCCAUAACCGACAACAAUACAGACAGCAAUGCCUUACCAUUAGGAUUCCAGCUAUGCUACUUAUGACUAUCAGGGCCCAGCAUAGGCCAGAGCCUAGGGAUGCCCACCAUUUCUGCAGGGAAGCAUCAGUAAGGCUCUCGACCACCUUAAUCUGCCAUAAGACCCCUUGCCGGACUGCUUUUAUGUUCUACCAAUUGUCAGGGAUAAAGGUACAAUAUUGUGUACCUAAAAGGGUGCCAAAUCUGUCCUGCAAACUCUGGCCAAGCAAUGGAUGAAAGGAGUAUGCAGACACAGUUAUUUUUGCCUGUGAGUGCAGCUAGGGGACCCCACAGUUUAGCCUGCCAAUGAGAAAGUGCGGCCCUGAUAAGCCAGAGACAUUCAUGUUUAUUUAGUACAGAUUUAAUGACAAAAACUUGGAGCAAACACAACUUAUGGGUAAUUAACUUUGCCCCAAGUAGGGAGCAGUCCUGUGUGCAAAUGAUCAAAGGUUGGUUUCCAGAGAAAUAGGUAAACAAACAUCUAGAUAAAUUCCUUGUACUCCCUUGUGAUCUGCACUUUGCCAUUUGCCUCAGGGUAAGAACAGCUGCCUUCAGCUCAUUCUUCCCCAAAGCUUUGCAAAACCUCCUGGCCUUCUAAGAAGGUUUGCGUCUCUCCUGUAAUUUUUCCUAUCACCCUGACCGAUCGCCUGCAAAAGAGCACAGGUGCCUCCUUGGGCAGCAUUUCCUAUGUCUGAGGCCAUUCAGUUUUGUAAUACCACAUUUCUGAUCUGAUCAACCUCAUCUAUUAACAGAAGGAGGACCACUAGAGUGUAAUUCAGAGCCCAGGUGGUGUGCUUCAUAAGAGCAGUAACUUGUGCUUCUGCAGUUAUGACAUCUGCUCCAGGGAUAGUCAUUUCCAAGAGGGCUAAGUGACUGCGAGCCUAGAAGAUGGAGUAGGACAAGGAGUAGCCAAAGGCAGUGGAGAGAGGGAGGCGGGGCAAAGCCUGGAAUCUGGAGGUCAAUACACAUGUAUUUCAAUCCACAAUUGCUUUGGCUACUGACAUAAAUCAAAGGAAAAAGGAGGGAGAUGCAGGGAGAAAAUGUAAACAGCCAGUACUGCUAUGUGAAUGAAUCUGAGUUAGAUUCCUAAACUCAACUACGUGCCAAGAAUGAAGGGAUACUCAUGAGUUUUACUAAUAGCCACUCGGGGAAAAGAUUUCUAUCCUGCCAAUGUUGCUGCUGACUUACACCGUGAAUUACAGAGGGCUGUAGUUACAGCAUGGUCCCCUCGCAUGGAUGGAUGAAGAAAAUUUGCAAUGAUACCAGAAAUGAGUAUUGUUGCAGGGUGCUGGAAGAUGAUUUGGCGAGGAGAUGAAUGCCUGCUAAAGCGACCAGAAGGCUCUCAGUAAAAAGUAUUAACAAGGUAUCAGUUGAAUCUGCAAAACAAAGAGGUGCUUGAAGGAUAUGAAAGAGGAAACCUGAAGGGAAACCCAGAUGGCACAUGUCUCUUCUGGGCUAGGGCUUAGGCAGAUGUAGACAAGAGAAGAUGAAAUCAUUAAAGUGGACCCGACUCCAAUGUGACUGUUAUCCUUAGAAAAAUGGGAAAUUUAGACAUAGAGAGUCACACACAGGAAGAACACUGUGUGAAGAGAAGGCAGAGAUUGGGGGCAUGCAACUAUAAGCCAAGCAAUACUGAUUGCCAGCAACCACCAGAAGCUAGGAGAGAGGCACCGAACAGAUUCACCCACACGUCCUCAGAAGGAACCGGCCCUGCCAACACCUUGAUCUCCGACUUCCAGCCCUCAGACUAAGACAAUACACUUCUCUUGGUUAAGCCACCCAGUUUGUGGUACAUUGUUACGCUAGCCCUAUCAAACUAAUACAGGUAUGUUUCUUUAUUUGGAUUCCACUGGAAGCAGAGAUUGACAAGACUUGGGUGGUAAUUGAUGUUUGACACGUGCUCAGGAUAUAAAUUUCACUUUCAAAACUAUCAUGGUAUUUAUUUGUUUGUUUUCUCUUAUUUUCCCCGUGGGUUUAGACAUAAAAGAUAACCAAGCAGACAGUGGCAUGUUUGUAAUCCCAGUACUUUGAGAGGCCAAGGUGAGAGGAUUGCUUGAGGUCAGGAGUUUGAGACC